rnacentral:rRNA from 11 species
AAGGCUUACGGUGGAUACCUAGGCACCCAGAGACGAGGAAGGGCGUAGUAAGCGACGAAAUGCUUCGGGGAGUUGAAAUAAGCAUAGAUCCGGAGAUUCCCGAAUAGGUUAACCUUUCAAACUGCUGCUGAAUCCAUGGGCAGGCAAGAGACA